CACGUAGGGUGCGAGCGUUGUCCGGAAUUAUUGGGCGUAAAGAGCUCGUAGGCGGUUUGUCGCGUCGGAUGUGAAAGCCCGGGGCUUAACCCCGGGUCUGCAUUCGAUACGGGCAGACUAGAGUGUGGUAGGGGAGAUCGGAAUUCCUGGUGUAGCGGUGAAAUGCGCAGAUAUCAGGAGGAACACCGGUGGCGAAGGCGGAUCUCUGGGCCAUUACUGACGCUGAGGAGCGAAAGCGUGGGGAGCGAACAGG
rnacentral:rRNA from 1 species